rnacentral:lncRNA from 1 species
GUAAAGUGAUUUUCAAGGUGGAGGUUGGGCGCAGUGUGGUGGCCUGCGGACUGGCAGUGUAUUGGUGAGUGGUUAGUCCCUGAACCUUCUCUAACCCCUGGAACAGGGGCGUUGUAGGACCAGCGUGGCAGACGUCCAUAUCUCCUCAUCCAACCUGGCCUCAUCGGUUAAAACUGCUGCACGGCCACGGCCGGUGCUCCCACUCAUGGACUAUGCCUGCCAGCUAUGUGUACUUGGACCUAAAGAUGUGUGUGGAUUACUGAGCAGAAGAUCACCUUGACUAUGACCAGUCAUAGAGAGCCGUGGGCUGUGGAGCUGAGAAGAGAGGCUUGCUUCUCCCCCCACCAAACACCUCCAUCACCCGCCUCUACCCCCUUCAGGCUUGGGGUUCUCCUGAGGUUGAGGGUAGGACUGACUGAUGAGGUCCCAGCUGCGAGGACUUCAGGAGAAUUGAACCAGGCUCUCUCAGCCCAGGGAGGAAAUGACAAAUAAGUACUUCCAGCCGACUGGAAGAGCCACGCAUCAGAGGCUUCAGGACAGGAAAUAGGAGGGACAUUUUAGACUGUCACACAAAGGAUGGUGUGUUCCAGAAACACUCUGCAAACAGCACGCUGAGCCAGGCAACUAGGUAUAAAGAGGUGGAAGACCUUUCUCAUUUCUUGCUUUUCCUCUGACUCCUUUCAAAGAAGUUGAUGAAGUUCCCGAAUCAAUCAGUGCCCCAGUAACCAGGCAACAGCCACAGUAAUUCCGUUCUUUCUCUCACUUCUUCUCAUUUUCUCUCUCUCUCUCUCGACUCUGUUGCCACUCAGCUGUCUGAGGCUCGUGUCUGACAGUGACAGCGUUGUUCUCUCCGUUUGCCGUGGCUCUCCUUUUGGUCAGACAGCCG